UCCAAAAAGCAUUUGCCAGAUUUGGGUGUUUGAAAGACUGGCUGGAAAUUCUCUACCGGUUCGUCAAUGGUCCACAAGUUGGGCAGAAUCAAAUUUGACGAUGGCAAAGAUGGAGAGGCAGCAAAGGAGGAGAGAGCUAUUCUAUUUCUAUAGAUUGAUGGUGGAGAGAAAGAGUCUAAAGUAAUGGAGAAUGCGAGGAGAAAAUUCAGAAUUAUGAAAGACGAAAAAGGACCGAUGCUGCAAGCCAUCACGGCAUCUAACCGCCACUCCGGACACGAAAUCCGCCGAAAGAAAGUUUUCAAGGAAACUCCUUGUGCGCCGUUUCUUAAGCAAGACUGCGCUUUUACACGCAACUCUCACUUAUUUGGAGGGCUUCUAGAAAAACUGUCCACAUGCAGGUUCUUCCAUC